rnacentral:rRNA from 1 species
GCUUAACACAUGCAAGUCGAGGGGUAGCAUUUCAGUUUGCUUGCAAACUGGAGAUGGCGACCGGCGCACGGGUGAGUAACACGUAUCCAACCUGCCGAUAACUCGGGGAUAGCCUUUCGAAAGAAAGAUUAAUGCCCGAUGGUAUAAUCAGACCGCACGGUCUUGUUAUUAAAGAAUUUCGGUUAUCGAUGGGGAUGCGUUCCAUUAGGCAGUUGGUGAGGUAACGGCUCACCAAACCUUCGAUGGAUAGGGGUUCUGAGAGGAAGGUCCCCCACAUUGGAACUGAGACACGGUCCAAACUCCUACGGGAGGCAGCAGUGAGGAAUAUUGGUCAAUGGGCGCAGGCCUGAACCAGCCAAGUAGCGUGAAGGAUGACUGCCCUAUGGGUUGUAAAAUUCUUUUAUAUGGGAAUAAAGUUUUCCACGUGUGGAAUUUUGUAUGUACCAUAUGAAUAAGGAUCGGCUAACUCCGUGCCAGCAGCCGCGGUAAUACGGAGGAUCCGAGCGUUAUCCGGAUUUAUUGGGUUUAAAGGGAGCGUAGGUGGACAGUUAAGUCAGUUGUGAAAGUUUGCGGCUCAACCGUAAAAUUGCAGUUGAUACUGGCUGUCUUGAGUACAGUAGAGGUGGGCGGAAUUCGUGGUGUAGCGGUGAAAUGCUUAGAUAUCACGAAGAACUCCGAUUGCGAAGGCAGCUCACUGGACUGCAACUGACACUGAUGCUCGAAAGUGUGGGUAUCAAACAGGAUUAGAUACCCUGGUAGUCCACACAGUAAACGAUGAAUACUCGCUGUUUGCGAUAUACAGUAAGCGGCCAAGCGAAAGCAUUAAGUAUUCCACCUGGGGAGUACGCCGGCAACGGUGAAACUCAAAGGAAUUGACGGGGGCCCGCACAAGCGGAGGAACAUGUGGUUUAAUUCGAUGAUACGCGAGGAACCUUACCCGGGCUUAAAUUGCAUUUGAAUAUAUUGGAAACAGUAUAGCCGUAAGGCAAAUGUGAAGGUGCUGCAUGGUUGUCGUCAGCUCGUGCCGUGAGGUGUCGGCUUAAGUGCCAUAACGAGCGCAACCCUUAUCUUUAGUUACUAACAGGUCAUGCUGAGGACUCUAGAGAGACUGCCGUCGUAAGAUGUGAGGAAGGUGGGGAUGACGUCAAAUCAGCACGGCCCUUACGUCCGGGGCUACACACGUGUUACAAUGGGGGGUACAGAAGGCAGCUACCUGGUGACAGGAUGCUAAUCCCAAAAGCCUCUCUCAGUUCGGAUCGAAGUCUGCAACCCGACUUCGUGAAGCUGGAUUCGCUAGUAAUCGCGCAUCAGCCAUGGCGCGGUGAAUACGUUCCCGGGCCUUGUACACACCGCCCGUCAAGCCAUGAAAGCCGGGGGUACCUGAAGUACGUAACCGCAAGGAGCGUCCUAGGGUAAAACUGGUAAUUGGGGC